UUGGCUGGGGCGGCACAUCUGUUAAAUGAUAACACAGGUGUCCUAAGGUGAGCUCAAUGAGAACAGAAAUCUCAUGUAGAACAAAAGGGUAAAAGCUCACUUGAUUUUGAUUUUCAGUAUGAAUACAAACCGUGAAAGCGUGGCCUAUCGAUCCUUUAGUUCUUUUGAA
rnacentral:ncRNA from 1 species